rnacentral:sRNA from 1 species
UAACCCUCGUGAAUUGAAACUCCGAGGUAUGGCAGAAAAACUAUCCCUAGCAGGAAGCUCCUCGUCAGAGCACUAGGGAUAGUCAUAGUCCGAAAGGGUUAUGGGUAGCCCGCAAGGGCUAUC